AAUAGAUUAAGUUUGAUCCUGGCUUAGGAUGAACGCUGGUAGUAUGCUUAACACAUGCGAGUCGAAUGAUGGUAACAUCAUGGCGAACGGGUGAGUACAAAAUAAGAAUCUGCCUUUUAGUUGGGUUAAAUACCUGAUGUACAGAAAGAUCCACGAUCGCUAAGAGAAGAGCUUAUUUAAGAUUAGGUUGUUGGUAGGGUAAAGGCCUACCAAGCCGACUAUCUUUAGCUGGUCUGAAAGGACGGUCAGCCACACUGGGACUGAGACAAGGCCCAGGCUUCAAACCGAAGCCAGCAGUGAGGAAUUUUGGACAAUGAGCGAAAGCUUGAUCCAGCAAUACUACGUGGGGGAAGAAGGCUCAAUUGGUCGUAAACCCCUUUCAUUAGGGAGGAUAAAGACAGUACCUAAAGAAGAAGCUCCGGCCAACUUCGUGCCAGCAGCCGCGGUAAUACGAAGGGAGCGAGCGUUAUCCGGAUUGAUUGGGCGUAAAGGGUCCGUAGGCGGCCUUGAGUAGUCAAAAGUAAAAGGUUAAAGCUCAACUUUAAAAUUGCUUUUAAAAAAAACGUCAAGGCUUGAGUUUGAAAGAGGAUAGCAGAAUUUUAUAUGGAGGGGUGAAAUCCUAAGAUAUAUGAAGGAAUACCAACGGCGAAGGCAGCUAUCUGGGUCAAUACUGACGCUGAGGGACGAAAGCACGGGUAGCAAAAAGGAUUUGAUACCCUCUUAGUCCGUGCCGUAAACGAUGAGUGCUCGUGCUCAGACGUAAGAUUUGGGCACUUAGGUAACCCAUUAAGCACUCCGCCUGAGAAGUACGAUCGCAAGAUUGGAACUCAAAGGAAUUGGCGGGGGUUCAUACAAGUGGUGGAACAUGUGGUUUAAUGCGAUAAUCCGCGCGAAACCUUACCAGUUCUAGACAUUUUCUUUUUUUUUUAAGAUUAAAAAGAUAAUCAGGUGUUGCAUGGCUGUCGUCAGCUCGUGUUGUGAAAUGUUUGGUUAAGUCCUUUAACGAGCGCAACCCUUGUACUUAGUUGACUUCGGUGACUCUAAGUAGACUGCCCACUAGGAUAGUGGGAGAAAGGUAAGGAUGACGUCAAGUCCUCAUGGCCCUUAUGAACUGGGCUACACACGUGUUACAAUGGUAAGAACAAUGAGAAGCGAUCUUGUAAAAGUGAGCAAACCUAUAAAUCUUAUCUUAGUUCGGAUUGUGGGCUGCAACUCGCCCACAUGAAGUUGGAAUCACUAGUAAUCGCAAAUCAUCACGUUGCGGUGAAUAUGUACCUGAACCUUGCACACACCGCCCGUCACAUGCCGGAAGUAGAUUUUACCUGAAAAGUGGUUUGAACGACUUAACCCCUUGGAGAUGUUCGCGUGAGCGAAUCCACCUAGGGGGGCAAUCGAGCAACCAAACUAAGGAGAGGUCUGUAACUGGGAUGAAGUCGUAACAAGGUAGUCGUACGGGAACGUGCGUCUGGAAGCAUUA
rnacentral:rRNA from 1 species